UACGUAGGGUGCAAGCGUUAUCCGGAAUUAUUGGGCGUAAAGCGCUCGUAGGCGGUUUGUCGAGUCUGCUGUGAAAGUCCGGGGCUCAACUCCGGAUCUGCGGUGGGUACGGGCAGACUAGAGUGAUGUAGGGGAGACUGGAAUUCCUGGUGUAGCGGUGAAAUGCGUAGAUAUUCGCAAGAACACCGAUGGCGAAGGCGGCUCACUGGGCCGAUACUGACGCUGAGGUGCGAAAGCGUGGGGAGCAAACAGG
rnacentral:rRNA from 1 species